rnacentral:piRNA from 1 species
UGAAGGAAUUUGCUCUUGUUGAUGCUAAC